rnacentral:guide_RNA from 1 species
AACAAACAAUGAGGAUGGUGGCAGAG